AAUAGAUACCCUGGUAGUCCAUGCCGUAAACGUUGGGAACUAGAUGUGGGGACCAUUCCACGGUCUCCGUGUCGCAGCUAACGCAUUAAGUUCCCCGCCUGGGGAGUACGGCCGCAAGGCUAAAACUCAAAGGAAUUGACGGGGGCCCGCACAAGCGGCGGAGCAUGCGGAUUAAUUCGAUGCAACGCGAAGAACCUUACCAGGGCUUGACAUAUACGAGAACGCUCUAGAAAUAGAGAACUCUUUGGACACUCGUAUACAGGUGGUGCAUGGUUGUCGUCAGCUCGUGUCGUGAGAUGUUGGGUUAAGUCCCGCAACGAGCGCAACCCUCGUCGUAUGUUGCCAGCACGUAAUGGUGGGAACUCAUAUGAGACUGCCGGGGUCAACUCGGAGGAAGGUGGGGAUGAGGUACAAAUCAUCAUGCCCCUUUAUGUCCGUGGGUCUUCACGCAUGCUACAAUGGCCGGUACGAAAGGGCUGCAACUACCGCAAGGUGGAGCGAAUACCCAAAAACGCCGGUCUCAGUUCGGAUUGAGGU
rnacentral:rRNA from 1 species